UACGAAGGGGGCUAGCGUUGUUCGGAAUUACUGGGCGUAAAGCGCAUGUAGGCGGAUAUUUAAGUCAGGGGUGAAAUCCCAGAGCUCAACUCUGGAACUGCCUUUGAUACUGGGUAUCUUGAGUAUGGAAGAGGUAAGUGGAAUUCCGAGUGUAGAGGUGAAAUUCGUAGAUAUUCGGAGGAACACCAGUGGCGAAGGCGGCUUACUGGUCCAUUACUGACGCUGAGGUGCGAAAGCGUGGGUAGCAAACAGG
rnacentral:rRNA from 1 species